rnacentral:rRNA from 1 species
UACAGAGGGUGCAAACGUUGUUCGGAAUUACUGGGCGUAAAGCGAGUGUAGGCGGUGUGGUAAGUCGGAUGUGAAGAGCCCCGGGCUCAACCCGGGAAGUGCACUCGAUACUGCCACGCUAGAGUAUCGGAGAGGUUGGUGGAAUUCUCGGUGUAGAGGUGAAAUUCGUAGAUAUCGAGAAGAACACCGGUGGCGAAGGCGGCCAUCUGGACGGUGACUGACGCUGAGACGCGAAAGCGUGGGGAGCAAACAGG